CCUACCGGGGGGCAGCAGUGAGGAAUAUUGGUCAAUGGCCGGAAGGCUGAACCAGCCAAGCCGCGUGAAGGACGAAGGUGCCAAGCAUUGUAAACUUCUUUUGUCAAGGGACAAAAUCAGGCUCGAGAGCCUGACCGAGGGUACUUGAAGAAAAAGCAUCGGCUAACUCCGUGCCAGCAGCCGCGGUAAUACGGAGGAUGCGAGCGUUAUCCGGAUUUAUUGGGUUUAAAGGGUGCGUAGGCGGGCUGUUAAGUAAGCGGUAAAAGCCCGGGGCUCAACCCCGGCGAGCCGUUGAAACGGGCUGUAUGGAGAUGUGGAGAGUUAUGCGGAAUGCGCAGUGUAGCGGGGAAAGGCUUAGAUAUUGCGCAGAACUCCGAUUGCGAGGGAGGCAUACCGGCGGCGAUCUGACGCGGAGGCACGAAAGCGUGGGUAUCGAACAGGAUUAGAUACCCGAGUAGUC
rnacentral:rRNA from 1 species